rnacentral:rRNA from 1 species
GACGGGGGGGGCAAGUGUUCUUCGGAAUGACUGGGCGUAAAGAGCUUGUAGGCGGUUUGUCGCGUCUGCUGUGAAAAUCCGGGGCUCAACCCCGGACUUGCAGUGGGUACGGGCAGACUGGAGUGCGGUAGGGGAGAUUGGAAUUCCUGGUGUAGCGGUGGAAUGCGCAGAUAUCAAGUGGAACACCAGUGGCGAAGGCGAGUCUCUGGACAUUUCCUGACGCUGAGGCACGAAAG